UGGACACUAAAGUCUGGGGAGAAUCGCCGCUGAACACGAAAGGAACCCCCCCCCCCCCCAUCAUUUCUAUCUCCUUCAACAUAAGCCCUCCGUCAUUCUGCAAUCAAACACAAAUGACCCCCUCCUAAUCAUCUUCUUCAACUCUUCUUCUCACCGGUCAGUGGCGAACUUGCCAUAAAACACAUCUACCUUCAUCGCCACUGCUCCUUCUUCUUCGUCCAUCACAACUACAACAGGCAUGAAACCUGCUUGAAUCCUCGUGAAACAGUCCGGAAAGCCACUAUUCAGUCCAAAAACAGAACCAUGAAACCCUAAAAUGAAUCAAUUCCAGAUUUUGCAUCUUCAAUGCUCAGAAACCAAUCGUUUAAGUCUGUCUUUUUGUUUCAUGUUUGAGCUUUCCAUCAAGCUUUAGGGUCGUCAAUGGCUGCUGUCUAGGGAGGCUCUAUUUUAGUCGUGCGUUGAUGUGCCGUUUGGUUGGUUUUCGGUUGAAUUCCGUCCAGGGUUCUAAUGUUUGGAGGUCCGUCUCUUUCCUCCUCUUUGAUUACCUGUGAGAUGGUUUUAAGCAUGACAUUGAUUUUUUACAUUUGUUUGAGUCAUUAAGUCUUUCAAGUUGGUCUUAGAAUCUCUUAAUACACAACGUGUUGGUUGUCGAUUUUAGUUGAAAUUGAAUGUUUUGUGUUAUGUUUGAGCUUGACGUUUUAACGGGAAAGCAUUUCUAUAGUUUAAAUUUCAAUUAGUUUGAGGUCAGAUUGCCAUAUGAAUUAGUGCUUAAAAUAUUUUGCAAUGUCCAUAAUGUUAGUGUUCAAUUACAGUGAUGGGUUUCUCUUCCAAUGCAAGUUAAUAUUUGGCCAUUUUCUUGUCUAAAUUAGGUACUGUUAGUUUUAAAGGGACAAUAUUGUGCAUCAGGUUGCUUUUAUUUGCCUUGUUAUUCUCAUCGUUUCUUAUUUAUUUAUUUUGCGUUUUGUUUUCUCUGAAUACCAUAUGUUUCAUUGUGUGUGUAUCUCUUAUUGAUCAAAUAUGAGGCCAAAAAUCAGAACUUUGCUAGCCGCUAUAAUUUUGAAUAGUGAUAAAAUAAGAUAAAGAUGUUAUAAAUCCGAGUGUAUAUUUCAUAUGACCCGAUUCUAAUUUUCCAACAAGGUUAAAUAGAACGUGUCGUGAACCAUGGGUGCAUUUCAUGUGGCGUGGCUUGCGAUAUGUGUUUAAAUAACCUUGAAUUUUUCUAAAAUAUUAAAAGCGACUAAAAAGUUAAACAAUGCACAUAGGUUUAAAAGUGUUUUAAAAUCAGAUAUCUAGGCCAAUAAUAACUGUUGAGCGACCGUGCUAAAACCACAGAAUCCGGGAAUGCCUAACACCUUCUCCCAGAUUAACAGAAUUCCUUACCCGGAUUUCUGUGUUCGCGGACUAUAGAACAAAGUCAAUCUUUCCUCGAUUCGGAAUUUGAACUGGUGACUUGGGACACCAUAAAUUAUCCCAAGUGGCGACUCUGAUUUUAAAUAAAUAAAUAAUCCUGUUUUGAUUGUCACUUAAAUUUGAAAAAACUCCCUUAUACCCUUCCGGGGUGUAGGUAAAAAGGAGGUGUGACAGCUCUGGCGACUCUGCUGGGGAACGAACCCAGAAUCUCUGGUUCAGGGUUCAGAAUUCGAGCUUAGAUGAAUUGUUAUAUUUGGAUUUACUUAUUAUCUGGUUUUAUUCACAUAUUUUGGCCUAAUGUGCCAAAUAUUGUUUUUACCGCUUUGAUAUUCUGUGAAUUGUAUAUAAACUGCUACGAAACCCUUCUUCUCUCUGAGUCUUCUAAAUCAUUUGGGGAGUAUGCACUUCGUGUGACUUCUCUUCUAUCUAGAGUCUUAUCCAAUUUUAGAACUAGGUUCGGACAAGUUGCAAAGCCGGUGAAGCUUCUGUAUUCCCGGUACGCUGCCCCCCCUCGGCUCGAGCUAUCUGCUCGGGUAAGCCAGGUCUAGAAUAAUAAACCCAGAUUUUAAACCUAGUAUAACAAAACAUCAUGCCGGAUCCCUAGUAGGAACGCUUGUUUGCAUCACGUGCAUUUGACUUUGGAGACUCAACACAGGAGUUGGGUUUGUCUAGGACAGAUGCACCCAAAAUAACAGACCAUCUUGAUGCAUCCUAUGUGCUACAUGUUGCAUUUAUUCUAGGGUAAAAGGGUCAAUUAGCGGACCAAUGAUAGUUGAGGGCAAAUAAAAAAAGAAAAAAAAAGAGGGUGAAGUGUGAAGAUAAAGCGAGUAGGGCCCAAUUAUGCUUCCUGUCACAUUUUGUUAAGGAAAAAAGAGCUUGAAAAUUCAAAAAAAAAACAAAAGAAAAAAAAAUAUUUUGUAUUUUUUCAUCAUUCUCCGUAAAUCAGAAAAUCAAAAAAAAAGAAAAAGAAAAAAAUCAAAAAAAAAGGUUACAUGUCUCAUCAUUUUUCGAAAAAGACAAAAAAAUAUGUUUUCUCUAAAUUAGUUAUUUUUUUUUAAUUCUCGCCCGUAUCUAAUCUGCUCGAACUACGCAUACCUGAUUCUCGUCUUUCGGGGUGUGAUACAUAGGAAACCCACAUAGGGUUUGGUCUUCCUAGAAAAUGUUCUUAGGUUCUUGGCUUUGCGGGGUCUUAGCCAAAUUUUGCACUUCUAGUCACCUUUUGGCCACAUAAGUCAUUUUGCAAAAAUAGCCUGAAUCAUGUCUUGCAUGUGUUUAAUAGGGAGUGUUGUUAUCUCACAUAGUGUUGGUUAAAGUUUUCUCAUACAGGUGUGGGCCUAUUUACCAGAGUUCGAGCAUAGCAGAGCCCCAGGACCAUCUAGUCAGGAUCGCUCAUUUAGGAGUGGAUUAAAAGAAGAUUUUCUUUUUUUUUUAUGCUUUGAGUCUGUUAUUCUUUUUUAUGUCGUCCUUUAAUUUCUAGCUUUGUACAAUAAUGUCGAGUCUUUUGAUAUUGUGUUUCCCCAUUUUGUAUUGAAGAAAGAUGUGUAAUAAGGCAAAAAUUAUAAAAUAAAAAAAAGAUUUUGCGGU
rnacentral:lncRNA from 1 species